rnacentral:rRNA from 1 species
AAGGUUUCCAGAGUAAAGCUGAUCUGCUCUGGGUAAGUCGGGGCCUAAGGCGAGGCUGAGAGGCGUAGUCGAUGGACAACAGGUUGAAAUUCCUGUACCGCGUAUUAUCAGAACUGUGGGGACGCAGAAGGACAACACAACCCGGGAAUGGGAAGACCGGGGCAAGCGAGGUAGGAGUAUGGUUGGCAAAUCCGCCGUACAAUCCGAAGACGUGACGCGUAGCGAACUAUAAGUAGCGAAGUGUGUGAUUCCGGCUGCCAAGAAAAGCCGCUAUUGUGUAAUACGUGCCCGUACCGUAAACCGACACAGGUAGAUGAGGAGAGAAUCCUAAGGCCGGCGGGAGAAGCAUUGUUAAGGAACUCGGCAAAAUGACCCUGUAACUUCGGGAUAAAGGGUGCCAGAGAGAUCUGGCCGCAGAGAAUAGGCUCAAGCAACUGUUUAGCAAAAACACAGGUCUAUGCAAAACCGAAAGGUGAGGUAUAUGGGCUGACGCCUGCCCGGUGCUGGAAGGUUAAGAGGAGAGGUUAGCGCAAGCGAAGCUUUGAAUUUAAGCCCCAGUAAACGGCGGCCGUAACUAUAACGGUCCUAAGGUAGCGAAAUUCCUUGUCGGGUAAGUUCCGACCCGCACGAAAGGCGUAAUGAUUUGAGCGCUGUCUCAACAAUGCACCCGGUGAAAUUGAAAUACCAGUGAAGAUGCUGGUUACCUGCGCCAGGACGGAAAGACCCCAUGGAGCUUUACUCCAGCUUGAUACUGGGAUUCGGUAUUGCAUGUACAGGAUAGGUGGGAGGCUAAGAAGCAUGGACGCCAGUCUAUGUGGAGCCAAUGUUGGGAUACCACCCUUGCGAUAUUGGGUUUCUAACCUGCAGCCGUGACCCGGCUGGGGGACAAUGUCAGGUGGGGAGUUUGACUGGGGCGGUCGCCUCCGAAAGGGUAUCGGAGGCGCUCAAAGGUUCCCUCAGAAUGGUUGGAAACCAUUCGAAGAGUGCAAAGGCAGAAGGGAGCUUGACUGCGACACCGACGGGUGGAGCAGGUACGAAAGUAGGACUUAGUGAUCCGGUGGUAUAAAGUGGGAUUGCCAUCGCUCAACGGAUAAAAGCUACCCUGGGGAUAACAGGCUUAUCACUCCCAAGAGUUCACAUCGACGGAGUGGUUUGGCACCUCGAUGUCGGCUCAUCGCAUCCUGGGGCUGUAGUAGGUCCCAAGGGUUGGGCUGUUCGCCCAUUAAAGCGGUACGCGAGCUGGGUUCAGAACGU